GACGAACCGUGCGAACGUUGUUCGGAAUCACUGGGCUUAAAGGGCGCGUAGGCGGACUCUCAAGUCUGUGGUGAAAUCCCCCGGCUCAACCGGGGAACUGCCGUGGAUACUGGGAGUCUCGAGGGGUGUAGGGGCAUGCGGAACUUCGGGUGGAGCGGUGAAAUGCGUAGAUAUCCGAAGGAACGCCGGUGGCGAAAGCGGCGUGCUGGACACCUUCUGACGCUGAGGCGCGAAAGCCAGGGGAGCAAACGGG
rnacentral:rRNA from 1 species